rnacentral:rRNA from 1 species
UGGUCAAGUUAUUAAGGGUGCAGGGCGGAUGCCUUGGCACUAGGAGCCGAUGAAGGACGUGAUAAGCUGCGAUAAGCUUCGGGGAGUUGCACGUAAACUUUGAUCCGAAGAUUUCCGAAUGAGGAAACUCACUUAGAGUAAUGUCUAAGUAUCAUUAAGUGAAUACAUAGCUUAAUGAGGGGAACUCAGGGAACUGAAACAUCUAAGUACCUGAAGGAAGAGAAAGAAAUUCGAUUCCGUAAGUAGCGGCGAGCGAACGCGGAUUAGCCCAAACCAAUAAAGUUUUCUUUAUUGGGGUUGCGGACAUAUCAUAACGAAGAGGUAUCGUAAUUGAAGAGGUUUGGAAAGACCCACCACAGAAGGUAAUAGUCCUGUAUGUUAAACGAGAAGACUUUAGAUAUGAUCCAGAGUACCACGGGACACGUGAAACCCUGUGGGAAGCAGGAGGGACCACCCUCCAAGGCUAAAUACUACCUAGUGACCGAUAGCGUAUAGUA